AUAUGGGGGUUGUAGGACCCGAUAUUGGUUGUUAAAUAGAACUGGAAGUAUUUGGAAAGGUACACCAUAGAGUGUGAUAGUCACGUAUAGGUAAUGUUUAAUAAAUCAUAGGGAUAUCCUGAGUAGGGCGGGGCACGUGGAACCCUGUCUGAAUUUGCCGGGACCAUCCGGUAAGGCUAAAUACUCCUGAGAGACCGAUAGUGAACCAGUACCGUGAGGGAAAGGUGAAAAGAACCGUGAAUAACGGAGUGAAAUAGACCCUGAAACCAUACGCUUACAAGCGGUCGGAGCCCUUUUGGGUGACGGCGUGCCUUUUGCAUAAUGAGCCUACGAGUUACUUUUACCAGCGAGGAUAAGCAUUUCAGAUGCGAAUUCGUAGCGAAAGCGAGUCUUAAUAGGGCGAUUGAGUUGGUAGUAGUAGACGCGAAACCUGGUGAUCUACCCAUGGGCAGGUUGAAGCGCUGGUAACACAGCGUGGAGGACCGAACCGGUUGUCGUUGAAAAGACUUCGGAUGACCUGUGGGUAGGGGUGAAAGGCCAAUCAAACUGGGAAAUAGCUCGUACUCCCCGAAAUGUAUUUAGGUACAGCGUCGUGUUAUAGUUUAUUAGAGGUAGAGCUACUGAUUGGAUGCGGGGGUUUCACCGCCUACCAAUUCC
rnacentral:rRNA from 1 species